rnacentral:rRNA from 1 species
CGGUGGUUCUGCGUGGAAGGGCCAUCGCUCAACGGAUAAAAGCUACCCUGGGGAUAACAGGCUUAUCUCCCCCAAGAGUCCACAUCGACGGGGAGGUUUGGCACCUCGAUGUCGGCUCAUCACAUCCUGGGGCUGUAGUAGGUCCCAAGGGUUGGGCUGUUCGCCCAUUAAAGUGGUACGCGAGCUGGGUUCAGAACGUCGUGGGACAGUUCGGUCCCUAUCCGUCGCAGGCGUAGGAAAUUUGAGAAGACCGGUCCUUAGUACGAGAGGACCGGGAUGGACGUACCUCUGGUGUACCAGUUGUCCUGCCAAGGGCAUGGCUGGGUAGCUAUGUACGGAAUGGAUAAGCGCUGAAAGCAUCUAAGCGCGAAGCCAACUUC